UGCGGAGAGUGGAUAAAGCAAAAGUCAGUUAGUAUUUCUCUGCCUGGAGGCGGAGGACCUAAUAGCUUCCACCUACUCCGCGGAUCAUCCACCAGAGGUCGGGGAAGCCCCACUGCAGAUAGGUCAACCCUGCCCCCGUAGGGCCUUGCCCAUCUGGGAACAGCUGGCUCCAGCUGGGUUUAGAGCAUCCGGAGAACGAACAGCUCCCGCACCCCCAAUUCUCCGGGUGGAGGGCCAAACUACAGAGUGAGGGGGGCCACCGCAGGGGAUGGCUGCUCAGAGGCUCGGCAAGCGGGUCCUGAGCAAGCUGCAGUCACCGUCCCGGGCCAGGGGCAGUUCUGAUGGUAGCCCUGGAGGCCUGCAGAAGCGACAUGCGCGAGUCACUGUCAAGUACGACCGGCGGGAGCUGCAGCGUCGGCUGGACGUGGAGAAAUGGAUCGACGGGUGUCUGGAGAAGCUGUACCAGGGCAGGGAGGAAGAAAUGCCCGAUGAAGUCAACAUUGAUGAAUUAUUGGAACUAGAGAGUGAAGAGGAGAGAGGCAGAAAAAUUCAGGGAAUCUUGAAGACCUGCAGGAACCCCACAGAGGAUUUUGCCAAGGAGCUGGUCCUGAAGCUUCGGGGGCUUCACAAACAGCCAGGCCUUCCCCGGGGCAGUCCUUCAGAUGACUCAGAUGGGGGUGGCAUAAGCCCAGUCCAGGAUCAAGCCAGGAGAGCCCCUCGCUGACUGACCCCUCUCCCUUUGAGGCCCUGGAGAGAUGGUAUAUUCCUGUCUCCCUUCCACCCAGCUGUCCCUGGACUAAUGGGGACAGAUGGAAAAUCAAUUGAGCCCCCACCCCCAGGAGAAGGGAGUAUGAGAACAGAGCACAGCUGGACUCCCUGGGGACCCUGGGCUCCCUACCUCCUGGCUCCUGGCCUAAGCACCAUCUCUGUCUUCCUGAUAUUGUGUUUUUUAUGAAUUGAAGGUUUGUGACAACCUCAUUCUGAGCAAGUCUAUCGGCACCAUUUUUCCAACGGCAUGUGCUCACAUCAUGUCUCUGCGUCACAUUUUGGUAAUUCUCACAAUAUUUCAAAGUUUUUCAUUAUUCUAUAUGUUAUGGUGAUCUGUAAUCAAUGAGCUUUGAUGUUAUUAUUGUAAUUAUGUUGGGGACCUGUGAACUGUUCCCACAUGAGAAGGUGAUUUUAAUUGAUAAAUGUCUGCUCUGACUGCUCCACUCA